rnacentral:rRNA from 1 species
GACGUAGGGCGCGAGCGUUGUCCGGAUUUAUUGGGCGUAAAGAGCUCGUAGGCGGCUUGUCGCGUCGUCUGUGAAAUCCCGCGGCUCAACCGCGGGUCUGCAGUCGAUACGGGCAGGCUAGAGUUCGGUAGGGGAGACUGGAAUUCCUGGUGUAGCGGUGAAAUGCGCCAGAUAUCAGGAGGAACACCGGUGGCGAAGGCGGGUCUCUGGGCCGAUACUGACGCUGAGGAGCGAAAGCGUGGGGAGCAAACAGG